UACGAAGGGGGCUAGCGUUGUUCGGAAUCACUGGGCGUAAAGGGCGCGUAGGCGGCUUUAUAAGUCGGGGGUGAAAGCCUGUGGCUCAACCACAGAAUUGCCUUCGAUACUGUAGAGCUUGAGACCGGAAGAGGUAAGUGGAACUGCGAGUGUAGUGGUGAAAUGCGUAGAUAUCGGGAGGAACACCAGUGGCGAAGGCGGCUACCUGGCCCACUCUUGACGCUGAGGCGCGAAAGCUAGGGGAGCAAACGGG
rnacentral:rRNA from 1 species